CCGGCGGGGCUGGAAAUUAACCAUUUCAGAUUUGAUCAUUAUCAAAUGGAAAAUAAGCAGCUACUCCCUCCGUUUCAAAUUGUAGGUCGUUUUGAGUUUUUUUGUUUCACAUGUGUUUGUAUACAUAUAGACAUAUAUUAUAUUUAAUUAUAUAUAAACAUCUAUGCACCUAUAAAAAUUAAAAUAACGAAUGGGUCGAGGGAGUACUUAGUACGGAAAUUCUGUGGCCAUAUUUAUCAGAGCCGUACAUCAUCGGAAUUCAUGAACGUUUGACCGGCCGGUGUAGAGUUCUUGAAAGAAUGGGCGGUGUGUGCACUUGUAGCUCCUUGGUCGCUAGACAGAUGCAACGCGUGUUGUAUCGUGCUGAUUCAACGGUAGUUUCGGGGUGAUCGUUUGGGAAUUUAGAUGAUUGAAGGUAGUGUAGAGAAUUUGGGGUGCACCUUUGUUGCCGGUAUUUUCUUGGGAGUUUCUUGUCUACGGUUGACCUAAUUAACAACCCUCAACACUCACGCAGGAGUUUAAGAAAAGUCAGCGGCCCCCAACGCAUGAUACGCUCAGCAGAUAAGAAGAUCAGGCACAUGCAUGACAACACACGAUUUCGCUUUGAACAGAGAGAUCUUUACUGAGUUCGUUUAAUUGUUCGCAGUGGAAUGGAAUACGAAUCAAAGA
rnacentral:lncRNA from 1 species